GGCAGCUGGCUCAGGAAAUUUUAACCACAGCAAAUAUUUUUAACUUUACUAUUUCAUACUCAUCUGUAUUUUUUCUGUUUCUCCUGCGUCUGGAUCUUUUUCACCGACAUGAAGGUGAACUUGAUGCAGUUUGGACCCAUACCCGAUUCACUCAUUGGUUUUAGGUGGUGAAAAUCGAACUGGAACUGUUGCAAUUGUUGAGGACAAUCCUUAGACCUUUACUGUUCAGCUGAAGACUCUGGGGCUUGAUGGUCAUUGCUAAGACAGUUGUACUGGAAGUUCUCUUCCCACAGCACUGGCUCACCACUGGAAACCGAGGAGACCUAAUUUUAUUAUUAAUUCAUACUGGAAUAUAUCAAAAUCUAUUUUGUGAAAUUCCUUCUCUAGGAGAUGUUUAUAGGAUGAUUCAUUUGUGCUAAUUAAAAGUGAAUUUUUAAUGCUUUUUAGGGGCAAAAAUCCAUAUAUUUAAGAUAACUGUGUUACAUGAGGAAUAGGGUUGCCACCUUUUCUGGAAAAAAAUACCGGCCUUCCUGUAUUCUUGCCGUUUUUUUCCUAUUGAUAAC